UUUCUCUAAUACAUUCUCAACCUAUUCUACUAUUUUUCUUCAUUCUCAACUAUUCUAGAUAUUUCUACUAAAUUUUUCUAAUUUCUUCUUUUUUUUUCUUUCUUUUCUUCUAAUUCUAGAAUAUUCUUUACAAAUAUCUAUUCAAAUCAAGUUUAUAUUCCAACACUCCCCCUUAAACUUGAUUUGUCAUUCUGAGCAAAACUCUGAAGUUGGCGAAAUCCUUUCACGACAUGCCUUGCUUUAUAUCUUUCAACUUCACCUUUCGAAUUCUUCUUAACCUUAUGCACCCACUUGACUCCAAUGGCCUUGUGCCUUUCCGGUAGUGUCACGAGCUCACACGUAUCAUUCUUGUUUAUAGCUUUGAUCUCUUCGUCCAUUGCAACUCGCCAAUUUUCACUAUUUGCUGCUUCAGGUUCAUAAUCAGCAGAUAGGCAAAACAAGGUGAGAUCUUCUAACCUUUCAAUGUCUUCAUAUAUCUCAUCCAAAUUCCUUGCUCAUGGUGUGGCUCUUUCAUUUAAGAAAGAUGGUGGCGAGUCUUCAGUAACUUGUAUAGGUGAAGCUGGUGGAGUCACUACCUCUUGUUGGACUUCUCCAACUUGCUCGACUGUCCUUUCAUCUUCGAAUUGUGGGAUGAAGGUGAAGUCACCACUGGGAUUAAAAUCCCACACUCCUUCUUCGUCGAACUCCACAUCUCGACUUAUCACUGUUUUCUUGGUAUUUGGAUUAUAUAACUUAUAGCCUUUAGAGUUAGAGUCGUACCUGAUAAAUAUGAAUGCUUCACUUUUGUCAUCGAGCUUCUUCCUUCUCUCAUCUGGUACAUGCACGUAGGCUUUGCUCCCAAAUACCUUUAGGUGGGAAAUUCCUGGCUUUCUCCCGCUCCAGGCUUCUUGUGGAGUCAUUCCCCACACGCUCCUUGUCGGCGAUCGGUUGGAUAGGUACACCGCGCACGCCACUGCUUCGGCCCAAAACUCUUUAGGCAGAUUCUUCGUCUUUAGCAUGCUCCUUGCCAUCUCCAUGAUUGUUCUAUUUUUUCUUUCCGCCACUCCGUUCUGUUGGGGGGAUCUCGGAACUGUCAGGGGCCGCCGAAUUCCAUUUACUUCGCAAAAUUCUAGAAACUCCUUUGAUGUGAAUUCUCCGCCUCGAUCGGACCUCAGGGCCUUGAUUUGUCGUCCGUUCUCCUUCUCGACGGCAGCUUUGAAUUUCUUGAAUGCAUCAAAUACUUCUGACUUCGACUCAUCAAGCUCCACGAACAUGCUUCUCUUCCCGCACAUGUGGUUGCUUGCACCAGUGUCGAGGUACCACGUGUCGUCUUGUCUUCCAGCUUCUCCUUUAUAUGCCAGAAGCACACUACCAUUUGCUUCGCUCGUGUUCUCGGCAUAAUUGGCCCUUUCUUCAAUCCUUACUUUUUCACUUCUGCACUCGGAAGCAUAGUGCCCAAAUUUAUGGCAAUUAUAACACUUUAUUGAAGACUUAUCGUACCUCGACUGCGGGUUGCUUCUCCCCCGACCACUUGUAAACUCAUUUCUUUCACCACGGUUGACGAAGCCUCCUCGUCCUCGUCCACGUCCACGUCCACGGCCUCUGCCUCGAUCUUGUCUUUGACCACAUCCUCUCCCAGACUGUCCAUAGCCAUUGUUCGGACCUUCUUCUUUCUCUUUCGAGCUUACUUGCAACUUUAAAAGUUGCUCUGAAAUUUCUUGCUUCUUCUUUUGCUUCUCCUCAUAUGCUUGCAACGACCCCAACAAGAGAUCUGUCACGACCGGACCUAAUUAAGGAUAAUUAAGCCGAGAAACCGUGACUAAUGGAGGGAGAUUAGAAGCGGGGUAGAAAGGGGAUAAUCAAACAAGGAAGGAUCGCAUUUCAUCAUUGUUAACAAAAGGAAUAUUUAUAAUAUAACGGAGGUUUCGUCGUAUAGACUCAAAUAACUAGUAAGUUCGGAUAACUCCGACUCAGCCAAAAUAACAUAACACUUCUGAGUACGCAGCGGAAUAAGAUUCUGAAUACAUGUAUGAAGACAUGUAUCCCUAGAGUUCAUUAAUACAUAAUAAGACAAAAGAGUCCCGCUCGUCACUUCAUCACCAUCGGCAACUACUCAACCUGCACAUUUAGAAAUAUAUGCAGGGCUGAGUACAAAAGUACUCAGUGGGCACGUAUGCCUAAGUAUAAAAAUACAUGCUUCAAAACUGUAAAUUGUCAUGCCAUCUUAAACAGUACAGCAAGGGGGUUUUUCGCUAAAAAGACCCAAGCUUACUAAAUUCAUUUGUGAUUCUUAAGGUUCGUCUGCAGACUAAGUUCUCUUGUAAUCUAUCAUAUCUGGAACUGUGUGCCGGAGAGGUGGCCACCUCUCACGGACACUUGACCGGCCAACCCGCUAGAUGACUCACGGUCACUGGUGUACACUAGCCCUGGCAGGAUAGCUAUCAACUGCUCAGGACCCGAAUUCAAUUACAUAACACAUCAGAUAGAUAUCAUACCAAAUUUGAAACAUUUAUGGCAAGACAACAGUUGAAAUAAUUUUCAGUUUAAAGAUUUUAUAACGAAAUAACUUGUUCAAUUGUAACAUGAAACUCAUUUGAUAUAUAUGAAAGUAAUGCCCACCUGAUAGAAACUUUCUGUGGUACAGUAGCUCCUUGUCUGAUUAUUAAUCUCGUGCUUGACCUUUAUUACGAGAAUAUAAAUAAGAUACUGCUCGAGCAAAAUCCUCAAAUAAUGAGAAUAUGAAAUUAACGAUGCAUGAUCCUCUUAUGCAUGAAUUAUUAUUCUGAAAUAAUAACCGGGAAAUUUCUAUUGUUAAUCCAGGCUAUUAGAUUUAGCUAACUCUCGUUUAUCGCGGUCGAAUAAAGCUAUAACUCUUCCUUCCCCAUCGGAACAUUCUAACUCGUAAAAUAAAAUAAUCUCGCUCCUGUAUUUGAUAAAUAGAAGGAACUGACUCGGUUCAUCCCAUAAGUAACCCAAUAAGAAUUUAUCGGGCUUGACAGUAAGAAAAUGUAACUUCAAAUAAUUAAUGGCUCAUAAUAAGGUAGCUGAUUAAUUAAAUAAAACAAAUGGCUUUAAUGAAAUAAACGAUAACAGUCCUCUUUAAAUUAUUUGGGCUUGAAGGAGAUAGUAAGAAGUUCAUUAAUUAAGAGGCUCAAUAAAAUAGCCUACUAAUUAAUCAAGAAUGGCUUGAAUUCCUCUGUCUAAAUAAAAUGACGAAAGUGUCCAAUGAUGUAAUAAUUAAGUGGGCUGGAAAGAAUAAAUCUUAGUUUAAUAGGCAAUUUAAUCGGCCCAAAUGAAGAAUUAAACUGGCCCAACGAAAUAUAAAUGGAAUUAGAAUAAAGUCUAUCACAAUAUAUACACUUCAGCCCAUCUCUUUUAAAACAAUUAUAGCCAAACUUAAAAUAGUAAAAAUGGCCCAAUCUUAUAAUUAAAAGAAAAGCCCAAAACAAAAUAGGAGCCCAACCCACAUUAACCUCGGCUCUCUCUCUCUCUCUCUCUACCAAACUCUCGCCUCUUUCUUUCUCAAGGAGCCGCUCACGCUCCUUCUUCACAUCAAGGCGCUCGCCUCUCACGUCUCGCUCCCUCUGCGGCGUCCUCGCGAACCCGCGUCUUCUCCCUUCUUCCUCACUGAACGAAACGAGCCCUAACUUUGGAAUUCCUCGUCGCGGCCGCACCUCUGUCAGGAAUCCGGCGAGCGGCUGUCGUCUGGAAGCGGCGCCGUCCAACUCCCGUCCUCCUAUCCCUCUCCGGCGUCGAGCCCUAGCUUCCAGAAAAGGGACAAUCGCUAUUGCCGAGCGGCUGCUGCUGCUGCGCACGAGCCUCUGCUCGGCCAUGGUUCCGGUCGGCCUCAGCGAUCCUUCAGCUCCGACGUCGUCGUUACUUUGAUGCAGCGAGACGACGAGAGUUCGCCGCCUUCUUUCUCCGUUCCGGCAGUUGGGGUUCGCCGUUUCCUUGGGCAGUCGGCCCUUCCCCAUCUAAAAGCUAAGUCUAAACUCUCUCUCCAAUCCAUUCACUUAUCUAGUUUCUGUGAGUUCUUGUGAUUGUUACUUAGGAGUGUAGUGGAAGUGAAGCAUAUAAAUCUUUCUAUUGUAAAACAUAUCAUAGCUAUUUGAGGUAGAAAAACUAUGAUUGUGUUAGAUAUGAAUGCAACUGGGUUGAAAAUCUGAGAUAGUAGAAUACCUUGGGAAUGACUGUUGGUUGGCUGAUUGCCGUUGAGUUUAACGAACUGGAAUGAUUGAACUGAACUGAAAUAAAUGUUCUUUCCAUUAAUGUAGGUGAAAUCUUGGAGGAGUUGAAGAGAGUUAAAGAAGUUUACCUCCUCGCAGAGAAUGUAUGAAGGCCCCUGCUGUCCUGAACUUUCUAAGUGUGGAAUGGAAACAAAAUGGAGAUUAAUAGCUGAUGAAGUCUGGAACAAAAUGAAGGUGUUCGGGUGUGAAAUGCACACUUGUUUUAGUCAAAAUGUGCAAACUGGCUGGAGUCAAAAAGAUACAAAUAGGCGGUGGAGCAUGCUAAGGAAUAGGGGAGGGUGUAGUGGCAGGGGAAUUGGAACAGUUGUUGAAAAGAAGGAAAAAUGUAGCUGCAGUAGAUGUUCCUUGCAGCACACACGUUUUAUCCUUCUCAUUCUUUUCUUUCUUUUCCUUUUUCUUUAAGUGCUAGAUAGUGAAUAGUAGUGUAGAAAUGAUUGUUGAUGGUAUUUGUUGGAGAGCAUGCGUGUAGUAUGCAAUAGAGUAGGAAAGAGGACUAUGAUUGUAAGUGUUUGAAAGUCUUGAGGUGACAAAUAGAAUCCCAUAGUAGUUUUUGUAUCAAUUGAGGAUCUGUAAAUCUAAUUUUUUUUUCGGUAUUCUACUUAUCUUUAUAAAGCCUCUGCGAAUUAAAAUAUCUAAUUUAACUCGCUCUAUUAGUCGGGAUUAAAUCCACGACUGAGUAAAGUAAUAGAUAGAAAUAAUAUUUCGAUUACAAAUAAAAUAAUAACUCGACUUCGCUAAGUCAAUUAUCAUUCUGAAAUAAAUCAUUGACUACUCAAUAAUUCAAUCGUGGUCAUCUCAGGUAAUGGCAUCUAAUUCAGAACUCUGAGCUGAAUUAACUGAAUAUUAAUCACUGGAUUAAAUCAACUAAAAGAUGUAAAAAUAAAUAUUGCAUUUGUUGCUCUUAAUCAUAAAAUAAAAUAGCGGGCUACUACAAGAUCGAUCGUCAUCUCCUCCAAAUUUUUAGUUUCUUCGAUCGUCACCACAAUGUGCUCAAACUUUGGAGUUAGUGAGCGUAAUAUUUUCUCCAUAAUUCUAACAUCCUCCAAUUUUUCACCAUUUCUUUUCAUUUGAUUAGACACCGCCAAGACUCUUGAAAAAUAAUCCGAAAUUGACUCGGACUCUUUCAUAUGCAAAGACUCAAACUCUCCUCUUAAAGUUUGAAGUCGUACCUUUUUUACUUGCUCCGCUCCUUUGCACGCGUUCUGGAGCUUCUCCCACGCUUCUUUGGCGGUGCUCGCAUUCGAGAUUUUCUCGAAAUCAUCGUCCCCUAGCGCUUGAUAAAUGAGACAGAGAGCCUUCUUGUCUCUCUUUCUCGCGUCUCGCAAUCUAUCCUUUUGUUGUUGGGAUAGUGCGGCCUCGUCCCGCGGCUCCUCGUAGCCGUUCUCCACGAUCUCCCAAACGUCGUGGGCUCCCAAUAGCGCCUUCAUCUUGAUGCUCCAAUUGUCGAAGUUGCUCUUGUUGAGCAUGGGGACUUGAAACGAUUGUAAAUUCGCCAUACCACAAGUAGAAUCUUGUGGCUCUGAUACCACUUUGUUGGAAUAUAAGUAUAUAUAAUGGAGAAUUUAUUUAAUUGGUAGGAGGAAAUUUGGAGAAAUUGGUUGUGGACGUGUGUGUGCUUAGAAAUUUGAGUGGGAGGAUUGUUGUUUACUAACACAAUUUUUCUUUAAUUCACUUCAUUCUUUCUUCCCACUUUUUUCAUUACAUUCCAAUCAUGGUUACAUAUUUAUAGUGGUGAGUAGAUGAUUCCUACAUUCUCUAGAAUAUUCUCAACUAUUAUUUUUCUAAUACUUCUCUAGAAUUCUCUAUACAUACUAGAAUUCUCUAAUUCUAGCUAGUUCUCUUCAUCCUAACUUUUUCUCAACUAUUCUAGAUUAUUCCUCUUUCUCUAAUACAUUCUCAACCAUUCUACAUUUUUCUUCAUUCUCAACUAUUCUAGAUAUUUCUACAAAUUUCUUCUAAUUUCUUCUUUUUUUUUUCUUUCUUUUCUUCUAAUUCUAGAAUAUUCUUUACAAAUAUCUAUUCAAAUCAAGUUUAUAUUCCAACA
rnacentral:lncRNA from 1 species